rnacentral:lncRNA from 1 species
CAGUGGCUUUUAAUUGCUCUAUGUCAGUUAUGAGGCUAUGAGACACUUCUUUAUACCACCCUUCCUCUAUCACAGUGAUGGAAAGAAUUACUCCAAUUGGGCAUAUGGACUAAAAAGCAUCUGUAUCUUGUCAGGCUAGUUAAGAUAAAAGACAUUGAAAACUUCUUUCUGAGAAUAAAUCUGCAGGUUCCACAAGGCCAGGACCAGGGCUUGUCUUUAGCCAUCAGUGAGUUCUAGCAACUAGCAGAGCACCUGGUACAGGGUAGACACUCAAGCACUAUAUCUCAGUUGAAUAAAUGAAUGAAUGAAAAAGUAUAAAUAAUCAUUGAUGGUGGUCAUUCACUAUGCAAAUUUCCUUAAGGAAAAUGACAUAUGAAGAAAAAGCUAGAGAUUAUUGCUGAGUUUUGCUAGAAAUAUAGUGGUCUUUAAAAUGGAAGAAAAUAAGAUUUCUCUGCAUGUGAUCCUUGGUAUAAUUACAGGAGAUUUUAAUUUUCUCCUUUAUCUUUGUGUUUUUAAUUUUUUUCAAGUUGAAUAUGAUUUACAUUUAUAAUCAGGAAAAAAAUUUGUUUUGUUUUUUAAAGUAGAUUACUAGGAAAUAUGGUUAGUUGGCUAGAGUUGGAUGACUCUCCUUGGGGAUGGAUUUAGCUGUCAGAGGGAGGCAUUAAGCUCAUAGUUGAUUAUUGAUUCUUGGUUUUCUUACGGGAAAGUGAGACAUGGAAAUAGCCAGGAGGUAAGAUUUAGUGUUAUGGUCAGAAGCAAUGACUGGAAUCAGACCUUGAGCCUGUUUCUUCCUAGCUGUUUGAACUAUUAAACUAGUCACCUAGCUUCUCUCAGCUAUGAUAUUCCCUUCUAUAAGACAGGAUAAACAUCCCUUACAGGAGUACUCAGAGGUUAAAUGAGAUACAUGUUGUAAAGCAUUUAGCCCUGUGCCUGGCACAUUAUAAUUGCUCAAUAGAUGUCAGCUGUUAUUACUUUUAUUAUGAACAAACUGAACAUUCUUGGCCUUGAUGCUGACAUUUCCUGCUGAUAUGCAAACUGGUUUUUCAGUGCACAUAAAUGGAGGGCACUGGGAAUUCCUUCUACUGUCCCAGAUGAACCUGGGAACACAGUAAGAAAGAUCCUGGUAUCUGGCCAAUUGCCUUUGGAUUUCACGAACAAGGCUAGAAGUAGAUUCUAAUUUUCACUAUUUUAGUUGCUUUAGAAAAUUAAAUUUUACUUGUCCUGGAAGUGGACUAGAGGGAAAGGACAGCUAAGAAUUUUUAAAAACUCAUGUAUUGUUAAAGAGAGUGAGAACUCACUAUUUCAAGGUGAAGCAUGGCUAACUUUAUGAUGGAAAAUUUAAGAUUGUACCUGGCUAAAAUGAGUAGUAACUUUUUGUUUUAUAGACGACUGCUGCAUGGCUGCCCAGGGCUACCAAUUAGAGUGCCACCUCACCUAACCUUUCACUCUGUCCCUUUUCUUUCUCAUCAGAACUUAACUGUCCAAUGUUUCAUCCCCCCCCCCCAGGGCCUUGCUUCAAGCUGCUAUGGUAACAGCUAGCUAACCCAAGCUUCAUGUGCCCUUCCUGCCUUCUCAAGCAAGGGAGACUUCUGGAAACAUCUCUUCCUGGAAGUGAGAUGACACUAAUGGGGGAAAUCUCAAACUAAAAGUUAAGACUGAUAUUUUGAAACAGGUAGCCUGUGGUACCUCUCAAAUUACAACAGAGAAGCAGUCUUCCUUCUUACCUCCAUGUAUAGCCAACCUAGUACUUUGUUAUUCUUGUUCUUUCCUUUUGCUAAACAACUAUGUCCUACCUGCUGUGAUAACACUAACAGGCAGUCUGUGGUCUAUCCUAUGGAGAAGUACUGAGUGUUGUGACUGCACAGGUGAUAUUCAAAUCCAAUUAGCCAGUGCCUUUGCCUGGACUCUUACUAAUGCAGGAAGAAAUGACAUUGGAGUUAAAACAAAACAAAACAAAACAACCUCUGGCAAUUUCUCAUCUUGUGGCUGAUUGGCUUCUUUGACACCCAAGGGAGGUAUUGUCAAAUCAGCAAUCCCCCAGAGAUGUGCUGUCUUGGAGAUGCUAAAUUGCAAAGGGAAAACAGCUCAGUGUUAAGGAGGAAGAGUGCUCUGGAUAUGGAAUGAUUAUAAGGCGAAGUAACCUUCAAAAAAAAAUGCUGCAGCAUCUUAGUAAACAUAUAUACUAGUAUUUGCAUUCUAAGAUAUCUCGUCUCAGGUGCUUAGACUUGCAAUCUCAGUCUCUUUCUCCCCAAAUGUAUUUCCUAGCAUGUCAAUGCACCAAAAGAGGGUAAAUGACUAACAACAGUUUAACACUGCCCAUCGCCAGAGGUAUUUGCAUUGUGACAUGAAAUAGAAAGGCAGUUCAAAAUACUGUAGGAUUUAAGUGCAGCAGCAUGAAGGGAUGGAAGGAAUUGAAAAUGCAGAUGAUUCUAUAGUCCAAUCACCUAGAAUGAAUCCUAUCUGCACUUUUGCCUUUGGGCAAGAUACUUAACCUCUUUAAGCUUUCAUUUUCUUACCUAUAUUAGGGAAUCAUAAUUAUUCCUAUCUCAUAGAGGAUGUUCAAAUGAUUAAAUUAUAUUAUCCAUGUAAAGUGUUUAAGGGGCAGGUAACUGCCUAAUAAAGGAUGAUUCUUGCUAUAAAUAAAGCUUUAUGGGAAGGAAAUUAAGAUCAGUUGUGGAAUUUGGAACAUCCUUUAUUUAUUUAUUCAACAAAUGCUUAUUGAGCACCUGUCAAGUACUUCCAUAUCCUGUUCUAAAAGCUGGGCUGGGAGAACAGCUAUGAACAAGAUGGACAAACUCUCUGUCAUUACUGUCUACAGAUUAAUGGGGGAAGGCAGGGAACAAACAAACGCGUGUACAAUAUAAUUUCAGGUACUAAUAAGUGCUAUGAGAAAAACCAGCAAGGUAAGGUGAUAAAGAAUGAUAUAGAGGAGGACCAUUUUAGAUAGGACGGUCAGGUAAGAUAUCUCUGAGGUGGGGGGACACAUGCACAGAGCUUUAAGUGAAUUAAAGGAAUAAGUCAGCUAAGGCACUGUUGGAAAGAAUCAGCAAAUCAGUCGUGUUCGGUGGAAUAUUUGUUUUCCUGGGAAUAUCCUGUUACCUCUAAAAUUAUAUCAUAGAAAUAAUUAACUUGGCUAAGGAUAAGAUUGAUCUUAACUGGAGAUUAGGGCCCGAUGAAAGAAGAUAACCAGAAUUUACUGAGUUAUUAUGUGCCAAGGGUUGUACUCACUGCUCUAACCAAGUUCAUUUUGUCCUCUAACCACCUAAUCACUCUGUCAUUUUUCAUAGCAGCCUAUGAUGUGAUUAUUACUCUCCCAGUGUGAAAAUUGAGCCUUGAGAAUUGUCAGCAACUUGCCCCCAAAUAGUAAGAGGCUGAAAUGGAAUUUCAACAGAGUACAACGAUCCCUGGUAAGUUCUCCUCCAGAUAGUAGUACCACGACCCAGCAGGACUAUGCCCUGGAAAGCAGCAGCAACCUUCCAUCCCCAUAAGGCCUUUAAAAGCCAUUAGCCCUCAUAUGGUCAUUAAGAAUGUAUCCAAAAGCCUCAAGCUGAAAAUCUUCACUCAGCACAGCAUCAAUUUCAGUAACCUGGCCUUCAGCCAUGUUUAAAAAGAGUACAUAUCCUACUUGAAAGCAGAGAACUGCCCAUUUCUAGAUUUGCCCAGGGGGGAGCUGGAAUAUAGGCAUUCUGUUGCUACAAGAUGACAUUCUACUGCCACCUUCCAGUGCCAAUAUUUGUGGUUUGAAAGAAUUUCACAGAAGACCAGCUAUUCUGCUCUGUGGGGAGUUUUCAGAGAAGUUAGUGAUUUUUUGAAUAUGCAGUUAAGUGGUAGAUUGCCAAGAUACAAGUUUUGGUCAUUUGUAGGAGGCAUAAUUAUACAGAAUAUCACCUUUUUUUUUGUUGUAUAAAUGAACGUACCACAAAGUAAUUGUAAAAAAGAAGGUUGACCCUUGAGAAACUUUUCACAUAUUUAAGAUGCUGCCUUGGCUUAAAAUAUUCUACCUACCAUUUAUUUAUUUAUUAUUCUUUUUCUUUUUCUUUUUUGGCCACUGCAUGGCAUAUGGAAGUUCCUAGGCCAGAGAUCAGAUCGUGACCUAAGCCACAGCUAUGGCAACACUAGAUCCUUAACCCUCUGUGCUGGGCUGGAGAUGGAACCUGUGUCC